GGGACACAGAAGGUCAGAUAAAAACCGAGAAGCGCACUGAGAAGCUGCAAUAUUGGAGCAGAGUGAAAAACGGAUAAAUUUACCGAGAUAAGCUCAACAAUUGGCGACGAGGAAUUAAAAAAAAAAACCUACAAGAAUGCGGAUGUUUGCGGAUAGAAAAAAAUAGAAAAUGGUGGAUUUUUUGACGUAGGACUACGUCUUUCAUUUCUAUACCGGAGUGUAAAAUCAAAGUUUCGAAAACGAAAGCGUUACGCCGGAGACCGAGAUUUUGAGCGUUAAUAGCUCCUAAACAACUGAACGAAAUGGCUAUUGAAAUCACCAAUCGGUAUAUAAGCGAGCGGCGCUCGGAAAUCCACUCAGUUCUAAUUGAACAGCGAUUGGAGCAUGUUGUCGCUGUUGCGGUGAAGCUCUUUAUUUAUCAUGAAAGCGCGGAUGAAAGGUGUCACCAAGAGCCUGUUUGUGCACCCUAGGCCAGAAGGGAAUCUAUCAGGAGGAGAGUGAUGCCACAAACGGUUCCCUGGGAAGACAUCGCUACACACACAUACACGCGCGGCUAUUAACAGGUGGUUAUCGAGUUGGCAUUAACCACUGGUGGGCUUCCAGUAUCGAGAAAAAUGUGGAAAUAUCUAAUCGUUACUGAAAAUAAUC